rnacentral:rRNA from 1 species
UACGUAGGGUGCGAGCGUUGCCCGGAUUUAUUGGGCGUAAAGGGCGCGUAGGCGGCUCUGCACGUCCGUUGUGAAAUCGCCCGGCUCAACUGGGCGGGGUCAGCGGAUACGGCAGAGCUCGAGCAAGCUAGGGGGCAAUGGAAUUCCCGGUGUAGUGGUGGAAUGCGUAGAUAUCAGGAGGAACACCGGUGGCGAAGGCGGAUCUCUGGGCCUUGCCUGACGCUGAGGCGCGAAAGCUAGGGGAGCGAACAGG